UAGGAAUGAGUGGAUGAAUUGGAGAGUCGAGUUGAGGUCCCGUCGAGUUUCCGGUUCGUUGCUCCUUUUAUUACAAAAUAUAAAACUGGAAACAAAAGUACAAGAUCCUAUCUAUUCUAUUUGUCUUGAUCCUCUUGCUUCCGAUCUUCCUCUUGGAUCUUCAGUUAUUGCCUCACCUUCUUCUGGUGGAUACCUUGAUCUCAAAAUUUUGAUCUUGAAAUUAAGAUUUGAGACUUGAACUUGAAACUUGGAUUGAGUCAUUGAUACUCUACCAAAGAACAGUUCAUAGAAUACUUUGGAUGCUUGUUCUCCUGAUCAGAAGCUAAAAAGAUGUCUCUUGAGAUAUUGGGCCGCUAUGGAUGCAAAGCUGACUCUAACUAUCUUCAAACUGACCAUUCUUCUAUAUUUUGACCGGAGAUGAAAUUCCGUUCUUGGGUAGACCUGUGUUUUGCAGAAACCUGCAAGUCAUCAAAGAAGA
rnacentral:lncRNA from 1 species